AAGAAAAAAAGAUUUAACUUUUCAAGAUUGAGGAACAUCACAAGGAAAUGCUAAAGGGAGGAGAAAAAGAUUUAGCUUUUCAGCUAUUGCCUUCUCAACAUGAAUUGUUAUGCAUCUGAAUCAUAUAUGAAGCUGGGAGGUUCAGUUUGAAGUACUCUUGAGGUUAUUCUUCUAGAAGCUAUGGAUGUUGAAGAAAAGGCAAACAAUUAUCUAAAGGAAGAAAUAGUUGAAAGAGAUCAAUCAAUAUUGCUUCAAUUUUU